rnacentral:rRNA from 1 species
CAGUAGCCGCGGGAAUACCGAGGGUGCAAGCGUUAAUCGGAAUUACUGGGCGUAAAGCGCGCGUAGGUGGUUUGUUAAGUUGGAUGUGAAAUCCCCGGGCUCAACCUGGGAACUGCAUCCAAAACUGGCAAGCUAGAGUAUGGUAGAGGGUGGUGGAAUUUCCUGUGUAGCGGUGAAAUGCGUAGAUAUAGGAAGGAACACCAGUGGCGAAGGCGACCACCUGGACUGAUACUGACACUGAGGUGCGAAAGCGUGGGGAGCAAACAGGAUUAGAUACCCCCGUAGUCCCUGUCUCUUAUAC